rnacentral:hammerhead_ribozyme from 1 species
AUUUAGUUGAUGAGUCCCAAAUAGGACGAAACGUACAUCCUGAAU